CUAAAACUUAAAAUAUAACUUUUGGUUUAUUAUUUUAACAGAAAAAAAUUCAACAGUUUUUUAAAAAUAAAGCUCAACAAAUUAAUUAAAUUAAAAUGAAAGUCGCCGUCGUCUUCAUGUGCAUUGCAUUGAUUGCCGCCACACAAACAGCCGUUGUAACUCGAACACGAAGAUCCAACUUUAGAUGGACUCCUCUUAAAUGGAAGCGGUUUCAAUAUUUGCUCCAAAACCCACAGAAAAACUGCCAAUCACCAUGCCAUAUGACGUCACCCACCACAUACGCAAUCCCGUCUUGCCCUAAUGCCCCUUUUCCACCUUUUUGCGACUUCUGCCGAAAGGUUUACGGUUGCAACAAUGUUCCACCGAUGUCCUGAGUCUCCUUCAUCGGGGUUCGAACCCAGCAACUUUUAUUUCCACUGAAAUUUUGUUACUAAAUGUACAACGUACCUGAUUAAUAAACAAACGUUCUCAUACAA